AGAGAGAGAGCUGAGCUCUCUGACCCGAAGCUGCAGCGGGACCCGAGGGAGAAAUCCGGCCCGAACGCCAUCCUCCGGCCACGACGCAGCGCCGGAACACCGGAAGGAGCUUCGUCUCCACGUCGUCUACCUCCCUACACCCUUAGAUCAUCCAUGCAACAACGGUGAGCGGAGCAGCAACAACAGGAAGCCCCGAGCCUUCUCCGGCCAUCUCUGCAACUUCCGGCGACCGAUUAAGCCGCAUUUGCGCCGGUGAAUUCUCUGGUAUUUCUGGUUUGGGUUCCGGCUUCGAGUGCAGCUCUAGGCGAGAUAUUGUGAAGCUUUCUAGGAUAUUAACACCAAGAUCAUCAGUUCAUCAAUAGUCCAGUGCAGCAAGGAAUUUCUACAAACCGAUUUGAUUUUCGAAGGUAGAUACCACCCCUGAAUCAAGUAAUUCUCUUUUGGGAAUGAUUGGGAGUUAGAUACUAUGAUAGUUGGUUGAGAUCAUAACCUGAUAUUGUGAUCUUGAAUCGGAAAUUUGGUUGAAUUGUGUAGUUUUGGUGGUCUGACGAUAUGUUUGAACUAGAAGGACAUGUUGGAUGAGUUGGGGUGUUUUGAUUUGCAUGAAUUAUGAUUAUCAUGUUUGAUGCCUUGUUAGUGUUACUAAGGCAGGUUCUUUGAAAUGUUUGUGGAAUAAUUAAACAUGAUCGAGUUAUGAAGCAUGGGUAUCCUUAGUAAAUUUGGGUACACCAUGAAUGAAAAUCUACAAGUAUGGGUGUCCACAGUAAUUCUAUCAGAAUUGUUAUCCAACGAAAUUUGAAUUAGAAA